CGUCUUAUUACACGUCAUGUUUAAAUAGCCUGACAGAGCUCUUUUAGCAUUGCCUUUUCAAAACCACACAGCUUAGUUAUUAUUUUUUGACUCCUUAAUGCACUGUGUAGAUUUCUACUUGCUGUGUAAUGGCUCCACUAAGAGCAUGCAUCUCCAUAACUGAGGCCAAUGUCACAUCAUCAGACACUGCUAGUGAGACAUGACAGGAUCCACAAGCAAACCCCUCUUGCAGUGCAAUACAACUUGACAGAAUUUGAAUCACCAAAGUACAAUAUGACACAAGAUGGCGCCCCCCCCCCCAAAAAAAAGUACACGUGUUUCUUUAAUUACCGUUUUUCAUGUCGUAUGCGUUGUUGGCAAAUGGAAUUGGAUAUUGUCAAAUCUGAAACGGGCCUCUUCCUAAAUGUGGCUCGUAAUCAGAUUUGUAUCGUGUACCUGCCAACAGCAACAUCAUCGGUACCCUGCCAAUGCGAGCCUAACUUGCUAGGGAUAUCAUUGAUCGUGUAUACUGUACAUGCACACGCGCACACGUGCACGCCGGUCGAUCAAUGCUACAGUGAAAACGUGGCCUAUUAAAUAUGAUGCGCAUUGGAGGUGCACAGACUCUUCCCAAAGGAAAAUGUAAAGCUAAUGCUGUCAGUGAAGGCCAAAAGAAUGGCAUGUAAUGUUUCGUAUUUGACAAAAGCAUGUAAAUAGACCGUCAGAUGGCAUAGAGGAUCGAAAUGGAGCACCAAGAAUCCUGCGUUGUCUACCCAGCCACAAAACAAUUUCCUGCUGGUUAGUGAUACAUCAACGUCACUGUAAAGAGCACAUUCUCUUGACAAUUGGAGUUAAAAAUGCCUUCAUAUAUCCUCCUGUGAGAGAAAGUCAACAACACGAAAGCAGCAUCGGCCUGUGCAGCACAGUCAUCACGUCUAACCACCUACAGAGGACAAAGGGUCCUCUCUUUCUUUUUCUGGCGUUGUGUAACUCAGAUGUUGCAGAAACAUUGGAAGUUUUAAUAUCUCGACUGACCUGACGCCUCGGUUCAUUUAUAGUGUCAGGUCGCUCGGCUUCGUGUCACAUCUCGUUUCAAUCUCUGCGUCUGGUUAUCCGCUGAUCUGCCAUUUGACAGGAAAGAAAUGUGAGGGCCAACCUCUUCUUUCUGUGUCCUCUAUGUGCAUUCUCAGCUUCACACCUCCCAAACACUGAAGGCACCCGUUGAGUCCCUCGGGUGUGUGAAAAUCCUAAAUCGCAAGCUGAAAAUGAAUAAAUGGAUUUUGUCAAUAACAUAUUGGCACAAAUGCUUUUGGUUGCAUCGACGCUGACUAGAAAACGCACUGCAAUUCAAAAGGUUGUUACGACACCGCGCGGCUCUUGAUAAGUCCGCAAUACUCAAGAAUGUUGUUGCUAAUUAGUUUGAAGACGGUGGCGUGACAGAAAUGCUGUGACAAGCCAAGGCUGAGUCUGAGUGGUAUUUUUGAAGUCGAAGCCGAAAGAAACAGCCCGGCACUGUCCUUCUCCCACCGUGACAGAAUAAGAAGACAUCAGCAUUGGUGCCAGCAAAACGCGUUAAUGUCUGUCUGAAGUUGUGAUGACGAUGCGAGUGACAUGAAUGACAAUGCAUCCCUCAGCACGAGAGAGAGACAGAAGGAGAACUGUUGGCUUUUAAUAUCGAAUUGUCUACUUUGACCCGGAAGAUUGAAGCUUAAGGGAGUGGUGGGGAUGAGGUUCACCGUGUCAAAAGCUGUUUUGGUCAUCUCCGGUAUUCCAGAUGUUGUAUUAAUAUCUCAUGCGUGACACCAAAACAUCUGGGCUCUAUCAGAAACCCAAGUCACAUCAAGAGGAGUUAUGCAUGCGGACUACAUGAACGGAAGACUAGUUUUGAAAACAAUGGUGAGAGUUUUAUGCCCGGAAAGACACACCAUUCAUUCCAGUAGCUUGGAAAUGUCGCUGUUGUAAUGAGAGCACAUUUAAUGCUGAUAAGGCACCUCCAAGAAAAAAAAAAUCAGACUCGAGGAAAGACUGAGGAGAAGGAUGUGACAUCUCGUGGGCGAUAUUUAAUCCCACAUCCAGGAUGCACCUGCCAUUCUCCUCUUAACAAGGUCUGACUGGGAACAAGAAACGCCGAGCAAUGUUCACGGUGUAUACUAAAUGCUUGAGGAAAUUAUUACCUUUUGGUUUUAGACUGACUAUAAGGCGAAAGUACAAAAAUUACAAUUCAUACCCUACGCGCAUUGCACAUUUCCUCUAGAAUUGUUCAAAUAACAUUUGGGUGACUUGACUACUGUAAUUCCUCGCAUAUUGGCGGUGACCUCAUCGUGUUGACGGCAGCAAAGGAGUUGUGGUUGGAUUCUAAACUUCUGCUUCGAAGCGAGUAAUCCUGUACACAAAUCGAUUGUAUACUGUACAUCUUGGGUGUAUUAUGAGUCAUCACUGUAUUAUAAAUCACUUUCAAUAAUAUUAUACUUCCCACUUUAUCGUCCUGAUUAGCAAUGUCUACAAAGUGCAAAAUUGUUAUCAUAUUUAAAGAUGUAAUUUUAACGACCGCUUAUGAUUUAAAAAUCUGUAUUUCCUUAUUACGACAAUGUAUAUAUCACAGCCGCACACGCAGUAAUUUAUUGAGACAAGACAAGAACACGUUUUUCGAAACACGUUGACUUGGCUCUCAGCAAGCAGUUCCAGUUUCUCAGUCGCCCACUUUGCAAAAUUAAUUCCCCACCUGCAAUAACAAAAUAGCCCUUUCAGACACCUGUUGUCCACACAGUAAAAGAUACAAACCUAAAAGGUGUUCAAUUAAGAUAUAAACAUUAUCUGCAUCCGACCGGCUAAUUGGUGACAACUCGAUAACCCUGCAAUAGAAGAAGCACCUGUCAGAUAGUGAGGGAAUUAUCAUCUGGCUGAAAAUAAAUAUAGCCUUUGUAUUCUGUGCAUGCCCGGCUAUAAAUUGGCUGUCUGUAUUGACACGACGGCCACGUCACGGUUAUUUGAAGCCGCGGAAGAAAACAGUAGCUGGUUUGGUGUGUUGAUUUGAGCAAGUGUUUUCUGCUGUCGUUCCGUAUGCUUGACAUGCAAAAUGAUCUCACGGGAAAUCUUGUAGUGUCUCCAGAUUCAAAUUUCUUCCCAAAGCGGCGUUUGUUUUGUCGUUUGUCUCUUUUCCAUGUUACUAAUAAUAAUAAUACAGUAAUAAUAAUAAUAAUAAUAAUCCUUUAAUUUUAUUUGUAAGCACCUUUCAAAACACUUAAGGACACCUUACAAUCAAAUAAGAGCAAUAAAACCACAGAUAAAAUUAUAACUAAUAAAAGAAGCGGUGAGUUUAAACUGACUAUGCAAUUUUAAAACAAGUGGGUUUUGAGAUGAAUUUUGAAUGUGGAAAGAGAGUCAAUAUUACAGAUGUCGGGUGGAAGUGAGUUCCAGUACUACAGUAGUAGAAAUAAUGCAUUUUUCCCUCAACGAACAUAAGAAAUGACACAUUUAAAU